rnacentral:rRNA from 1 species
CGUGUAGGCGGCUUGGUCAGUCAGAUGUGAAAGCCCUGGGCUCAACCCAGGAAGUGCAUUUGAAACUGCCUCGCUUGAGUAUGGGAGAGGAGAGUGGAAUUCCCAGUGUAGAGGUGAAAUUCGUAGAUAUUGGGAGGAACACCCGUGGCGAAGGCGACUCUCUGGACCAAUACUGACGCUGAGACGCGAAAGCGUGGGGAGCAAACA